rnacentral:rRNA from 1 species
GACGAACGCUGGCGGCGUGCUUAACACAUGCAAGUCGAACGAAGAGCGAUGGAAGCUUGCUUCUAUCAAUCUUAGUGGCGAACGGGUGAGUAACGCGUAAUCAACCUGCCCUUCAGAGGGGGACAACAGUUGGAAACGACUGCUAAUACCGCAUACGAUCUAAUCUCGGCAUCGAGGAAAGAUGAAAGGUGGCCUCUAUUUAUAAGCUAUCACUGAAGGAGGGGAUUGCGUCUGAUUAGCUAGUUGGAGGGGUAACGGCCCACCAAGGCGAUGAUCAGUAGCCGGUCUGAGAGGAUGAACGGCCACAUUGGGACUGAGACACGGCCCAGACUCCUACGGGAGGCAGCAGUGGGGAAUCUUCCGCAAUGGACGAAAGGCUGACGGAGCAACGCCGCGUGAGUGAUGACGGCCUUCGGGUUGUAAAGCUCUGUUAAUCGGGACGAAAGGCCUUCUUGCGAACAGUUAGAAGGAUUGACGGUACCGGAAUAGAAAGCCACGGCUAACUACGUG